AGGAUGAACGCUGGCGGCGUGCUUAACACAUGCAAGUCGAACGAUGAAGCCGGAGCUUGCUCUGGUGGAUUAGUGGCGAACGGGUGAGUAACACGUGAGUAACCUGCCCUUGACUCUGGGAUAAGCGUUGGAAACGACGUCUAAUACCGGAUACGACGCGCGAAGGCAUCUUCUGCGCGUGGAAAGAAUUUCGGUCAAGGAUGGACUCGCGGCCUAUCAGCUAGUUGGUGAGGUAACGGCCCACCAAGGCGACGACGGGUAGCCGGCCUGAGAGGGUGACCGGCCACACUGGGACUGAGACACGGCCCAGACUCCUACGGGAGGCAGCAGUGGGGAAUAUUGCACAAUGGGCGCAAGCCUGAUGCAGCAACGCCGCGUGGAGGGACGACGGCCUCGGUUGUAAACCUCGUUUAGUAGGAAGAAGAGAAAGUGACGGUACCUGACAGAAAAAGACGACCGACUAACGUAACGUGCCAACGCAGCCGACGGUAA
rnacentral:rRNA from 1 species